CCUGGCUGCAAAAAGGAGGAGGAUUGGUCAUGGGUCUAGCAACCCCAUCCUCUAAAAACCCAGAGCUAUAGAAAUGCCAACAGAAGCUCAAGAAACCUCAACCUUGAUGGAGGAAGAAUUUUUGCCCAGAAGAUAUAUGACAAGGCUGUCACCCCUACUAGGCCACUGACGGAUACUCACCAGAAUCCUCUACCCUAGGCCAGUCUUCCAAAUUUUCCCCAGAUGUAACCCAUCAUAUACACAAGAAAGUCUGUGGAUGCUGGAAAUCCAAAGCAAAACAGAGAACAUGCUGGAGGAACUCAACAGGUCAGGCACCAUCUAUGGAAACGAAUAAGCAGUUGACGUUUUUGUGCCGAGAUGCUUCUUCAGGACUGGAAAAGAAGAGAGAAGAUGCCAGAACAAAAAGAGCCCUGUGGAUGUCAGGUCUUUGAGUAUUCUCAAGGCUGAGGAACAAUUUUGAAUACUGAAGGAAUCUGGAGAAAAGGGAAUCGAG